ACGGAAGGCAGCAGUGGGGAAUAUUGCACAAUGGGGGAAACCCUGAUGCAGCAACGCCGCGUGAGUGAUGACGGUCUUCGGAUUGUAAAGCUCUGUCUUUAGGGACGAUAAUGACGGUACCUAAGGAGGAAGCCACGGCUAACUACGUGCCAGCAGCCGCGGUAAUACGUAGGUGGCAAGCGUUGUCCGGAUUUACUGGGCGUAAAGGGAGCGUAGGUGGAUAUUUAAGUGGGAUGUGAAAUACCCGGGCUUAACCUGGGUGCUGCAUUCCAAACUGGAUAUCUAGAGUGCAGGAGAGGAAAGGAGAAUUCCUAGUGUAGCGGUGAAAUGCGUAGAGAUUAGGAAGAAUACCAGUGGCGAAGGCGCCUUACUGGACUGUAACUGACACUGAGGCUCGAAAGCGUGGGGAGCAAACAGGAUUAGAUACCCUGGUA
rnacentral:rRNA from 1 species